rnacentral:rRNA from 1 species
GAUGAACGCUGGCGGCGUGCCUAAUACAUGCAAGUCGAGCGAACAGACGAGGAGCUUGCUCCUCUGACGUUAGCGGCGGACGGGUGAGUAACACGUGGAUAACCUACCUAUAAGACUGGGAUAACUUCGGGAAACCGGAGCUAAUACCGGAUAAUAUAUUGAACCGCCUGGUUCAAUAGUGAAAGACGGUUUUGCUGUCACUUAUAGAUGGAUCCGCGCCGCAUUAGCUAGUUGGUAAGGUAACGGCUUACCAAGGCAACGAUGCGUAGCCGACCUGAGAGGGUGAUCGGCCACACUGGAACUGAGACACGGUCCAGACUCCUACGGGAGGCAGCAGUAGGGAAUCUUCCGCAAUGGGCGAAAGCCUGACGGAGCAACGCCGCGUGAGUGAUGAAGGUCUUCGGAUCGUAAAACUCUGUUAUUAGGGAAGAACAAAUGUGUAAGUAACUAUGCACGUCUUGACGGUACCUAAUCAGAAAGCCACGGCUAACUACGUG